rnacentral:misc_RNA from 1 species
UUUCCGUAGGUGAACCUGCGGAAGGAUCAUUAAUGAGUUGUCAUGGGGUUCGAUGCUGGCAGCCAAUUUUUGGAUGCAUGUGCUUGCCCUAACAAUCAUCUUCCAAACACCUGUGCACAUUUUUGAGGGAGUCUUGAGUUGGUUGCCGCUCUUGGGUGAUUUUCUCACAUUCCCUUAAAUUAUUAUACGCUAUUAACAAUGUUGAACGUGCUCUGUGCCGCAAGGCUAUUAAUAUAAUACAACUUUUAACAACGGAUCUCUUGGCUCUC